UACGUAGGGGGCGAGCGUUGUCCGGAAUCAUUGGGCGUAAAGCGCGUGUAGGCGGCUCGGUAAGUCUGCUGUGAAAGUCCAGGGCUCAACCCUGGGAUGCCGGUGGAUACUGUCGAGCUCGAGUCCGGAAGAGGCGAGUGGAAUUCCUGGUGUAGCGGUGAAAUGCGCAGAUAUCAGGAGGAACACCAAUGGCGAAGGCAGCUCGCUGGGACGUGACUGACGCUGAGACGCGAAAGCCAGGGGAGCAAACGGG
rnacentral:rRNA from 1 species